rnacentral:rRNA from 1 species
CGAAUACGGGGGAGCUUUACCAUGCAGUCGAACGGCAGCACGGACUUCGGUCUGGUGGCGAGUGGCGAACGGGUGAGUAAUGUAUCGGAACGUGCCCAGUAGCGGGGGAUAACUACGCGAAAGCGUAGCUAAUACCGCAUACGCCCUACGGGGGAAAGCAGGGGAUCGCAAGACCUUGCACUAUUGGAGCGGCCGAUAUCGGAUUAGCUAGUUGGUGGGGUAACGGCUCACCAAGGCGACGAUCCGUAGCUGGUUUGAGAGGACGACCAGCCACACUGGGACUGAGACACGGCCCAGACUCCUACGGGAGGCAGCAGUGGGGAAUUUUGGACAAUGGGGGAAACCCUGAUCCAGCCAUCCCGCGUGUGCGAUGAAGGCCUUCGGGUUGUAAAGCACUUUUGGCAGGAAAGAAACGUCGCGGGUUAAUACCCCGCGAAACUGACGGUACCUGCAGAAUAAGCACCGGCUAACUACGUGCCAGCAGCGGCCGGUAAU